rnacentral:piRNA from 1 species
UGAACUACUAAAGACAGGAAA